AAAAAUUAUGGAAAAAAAAGACAAUAGAUAUAUAACGGUAUGAAUGCACUUUAUUAUAUACACGGUUUGAUCGAACACAGUAACUCUAACCUAAAUCAUAUAUUAAAAAAUCUACUAUAUAUAAAUAUUAGAAUUUACUCGGUUCGAUCGAGCACAGUUACUCUAACGUAGAUCAUAUAUUAAAAUUUUAUUAUGUAUUCAAUAUAAUGUGGACAGAAAGAUUAUGAAAAAAUAUAGACAGACAUACAUGGCAGGGUAGAUGCAUGAUAUUAUUUACGCGGUUCGCCUAAACACAGUAACUUUAACUUAAAUCAUAAAUUAGAAAGUUUACUAUGUAUUCAAUUCAAUGUGGACAGAAAGACAAGGAAAAAAGAGAGAUAUGUGUGGCAGGGUGAUCCAUAGUAUUAGUUACGCGAUUCAAUCGAACACAA
rnacentral:lncRNA from 1 species